rnacentral:tRNA from 1 species
GCCUGGCUGGCUCAGUUGGUAGAGCAUGUGAUUCUUGAUCUCAGGGUUGUGAGUUCAAGCCCCACGUUGGGUG